CAAUAGCGUAUAUUAAAGUUGUUGCAGUUAAAAAGCUCGUAGUUGGAUUUCUGGUGGGAGCGAUCGGUCUGGCGCUUAGCGCGAGUACUUGCAUCGUCUCCGGCCAUCCUUGGGGAGAGUCUGUCUGGUAUUAGGUUGUCGGGCAGAGGAUCCUCAUCGUUUACUGUGAAAAAAUUAGAGUGUUCAAAGCAGGCUUAUGCCGUUGAAUAUAUUAGCAUGGAAUAAUAAGAUAGGACUUUGGUACUAUUUUGUUGGUUUGCGCACCAAAGUAAUGAUUAAUAGGGACAGUUGGGGGUAUUCGUAUUCCGUUGUCAGAGGUGAAAUUCUUGGAUUUACGGAAGACGAACUACUGCGAAAGCAUUUACCAAGGAUGUUUUCAUUAA
rnacentral:rRNA from 1 species